GUGAAAAGAACCCCGGGAGGGGAGUGAAAUAGAACCUGAAACCCUGCACUUACAAGCUGUGGAAGCACAUUUCUUGUGUGACCGCGUACUUUUUGUAGAACGGGCCAACGAGUUACGUUAAGUAGCAAGGUUAAGCACUUAAGGUUCGGAGCCGUAGCGAAAGCGAGUUUUAACUGAGCGUUCAGUUACUUGACGUAGACCCGAAACCGGGCGACCUACCCAUGAGCAGGAUGAAGCGAAAGUAAAAUUUCGUGGAGGUCCGAACCCACGAGCGUUGAAAAGCUCGGGGAUGACUUGUGGGUAGCGGUGAAAUUCCAAUCGAGCCCGGAGAUAGCUGGUUCUCCCCGAAAUAGCUUUAGGGCUAGCCUCAAGGUGAGAGAUACGGAGGUAGAGCACUGAAUGUCCUAGGGGGUAUUGCACCUACCGAAGACUAUCAAACUCCGAAU
rnacentral:rRNA from 1 species